rnacentral:rRNA from 1 species
CUAACAAGGAUUCCCUCAGUAACGGCGAGUGAACAGGGAUUAGCCCAGCACCGAAGCCUGUGGCCAUUUGGUUACUAGGCAAUGUGGUGUUCAGGUCGUUCCGCAGAGGCACUGCUCCACUCCAAGUCCAGCAAUGAGUACGGUAGUACAGACUUGGCCCAUAGAGGGUGAAAGGCCCGUGGGGGUGGAGAUUCAGGCAGGCCAGUGUCUCUCUGGGUAGACCUUGGAGUCGGGUUGUUUGUGAAUGCAGCCCAAAGCGGGUGGUAAACUCCAUCUAAGGCUAAAUACUAGCACGAGUCCGAUAGCGAACAAGUACCGUGAGGGAAAGUUGAAAAGUACUUUGAAGAGAGAGUAAACAGUGCGUGAAACCGCUCAGAGGUAAACGGGUGGAGUUGAACUGCAAGCCUUGAGAAUUCAGCUGGUGAGUGUGGUUUGAGCUUGGUCAAAUUGGUUGUACACUGGGGUCUGCGUAGUAGCAGGUCUCUGCCCUCGGGUGGGGAUGCGCGAAUCGCUUAUCAAGCGUUGUGCGCUCUAGUUGUAUUCGGGCCUGCUUGCCAGUGCAUUUUCUCAGGGUGUUCACCACGACCGGCACUGCUGUCUGGCUGUUGUGGUUAAACCGGUCUUGCAUUGUCCUUGUGGCUUUGUUUGGUCGGGACGGCAGGUAGCUCGUUGGCUAGUCUGGGGUAACCUGGGCAAUUGGUCUUCGGGUGUAAUCAGCUGACCAUAAUGGUUCUGUGCGGUGUGUCGGAGACGGCGGCUUGUGGUGUGAGCGCGCGUGCCUUGUCUGCUGACUUGUUUGGGUUUGGUUGCUAUGUUGCUUGUUCUGCAAGCCUGGCGAUGGCCUGAGCAUGUUUGGCGGGCGGUUGCGUGUGUGACACUAUUCCAGGGCCAAUAGUCUGUGGUGUAGUGGUAGAC